rnacentral:rRNA from 1 species
AUUGAACGCUGGCGGCAUGCCUUACACAUGCAAGUCGAACGGCAGCACGGGAGCAAUCCUGGUGGCGAGUGGCGAACGGGUGAGUAAUAUAUCGGAACGUGCCCAGUCGUGGGGGAUAACGUAGCGAAAGCUACGCUAAUACCGCAUACGAUCUAUGGAUGAAAGCGGGGGAUCGCAAGACCUCGCGCGAUUGGAGCGGCCGAUAUCAGAUUAGGUAGUUGGUGAGGUAAAGGCUCGCCAAGCCGACGAUCUGUAGCUGGUCUGAGAGGACGACCAGCCACACUGGGACUGAGACACGGCCCAGACUCCUACGGAGGCAGCAGUGGGGAAUUUUGGACAAUGGGCGCAAGCCUGAUCCAGCAAUGCCGCGUGCAGGAUGAAGGCC